rnacentral:sRNA from 1 species
AUUCUUAGCCACGGUGCACGCACCACGUCACGUAGCAGGGGGAGAGAUAUUCCUUUUCUCCCCUUCCU